rnacentral:rRNA from 1 species
AUGGAUUAUACAACGAGGACCAUUGCCUUCAAUGGACUGUUUCCCACUAUUGUCUGUCAGAAAGACAAUAACUCAUCCCCACUGUUAGCUUUAUGUAAUUCAUUAAUUCUAUUGGGCGAGUUCAACUUAAAUUUAGGGUAUGGUGUCUGUACUAUAUCAGAGAAGAAACUUAUUGACUGUGUCUGUGAUUAUUUUAUGACUAAGGCCACUCACAAGGGGACGAAAACUAGGAGAACUGCAAAUAAAACCCUCAAACGUUUGGCACAACCCAUUCAGUGUAAAAUGAUGCUCACAAGUGUUGAGCAUAUGGAGACCAGUGAAGAACUCCAGUUAUUUGAGAAAUUGGGUAUUAAAGUUUAUCAUGCUAAUGUUGUUGAUCCCAAGGAGGAAGAACUUGUUAGAGCCAUAGGGACAAAUACAUUUGACACCCUUUUGGCUGGUCUUGCUGCACAUAAAGCCAAGACAGAUGUGCAGAGUCGUUCUUCCGGUUCUUCAAAGGUGGAUGGGAGUGCAACAUCGCAUUUGGAGGCAGUCAAUUGGGAAUUGAUUGAUGACUUCCUUACUAAGAACCACACUCAGUUAACAGCAUAUGGUAUCCAGUCUAUAAAACAACAGAUGAUAGAUAAUAAUACAACCGUAUGUGCUCUGUUCUGGAAUAAUCAGUUUCACGUGGUGUCGCAGCUACAUGGAACUUUGCUUCUGUUACAAAAUAAUGCAGAUCAGGUUGACAAGCCUAUUGUAUGGAAGCAUUUCAAUGAUGUUUUGGACAGCUCAUGGACACAAGGGAAUGACUAUGUCGCAAAAUCUGUGGAUUUUAAAGGCUGCCGGAGGUUCAUUAUUUAUCCUAAUAUGACUGGCUCAUCCGCGCUGGUAGCACUAUGCAAUGCCAUACUUCUAAGAGGUGAUGUGGACCUGAGUAAAAUACUCGAUUGUAACUUGAGUCUAAAUCUUGGCCAUCUUCAUCAAGUUGUUUUUGGGGCCUCCAAGACUAAAUCCUAUACCAUGAGGCCAGAAGAAUGGGUUGUAGCAGUAGGAUGCCUUCAUCAACCUGUCGAUGUUAAAAUGAACUUUAAAAGCAUCCGUAACAUAAAAAUCACGAAAGACUUUGAGAUUUUUGAGAACUUUGGCUUUGAUUUAUACCAUGGUUUCAUCGCUGACCCGGAGGAUCUCAAUCUUUGCAAUGCAAUUGGAGAAAGGUAUUAUGAUUGUACAACUGAGAGCCCACCUUCUCAUUUGAAGGCAGAAGAUCAUAGAGAGUUACUUGAUAAGUUCCUAAAAGAUCAUGAUACCGAACUAACACCUCAUGGUUUGCAAAGUUUACAAGAGGAAUUGUCUGAAACAAAUAUCCAUGUUAUAUUCUGGAACAAACAGUUCCAUACUGCUAUCAAGUGCAAUAACCGCAUCUUUGUUUUGGAUCCAAGUUUGAGUUCAUUUGAUGCUGGCAAAAUAUGGAGAAGUUUAGACAGUGUGGAUGGUGCCGGAGAAACUUUGGCCAGUGUUUCCUACCCUAAGUCAGGCGAACAUAAAUGCAUCAGUCCAGAUUGUCUAUUGGCAUUUAACUCACCAUUUAAUCUUCGACGGCAUAAUUAUGUUCAUCAUACAAGUUCUGGCAGCAAAGAAUUGGACAUUUUGCAACACAGAACUGAAUUUAGUAAUUGUUGGGAUAGUCUCUCAUCUGAAGAGUCUGGGGAGAUAUUGUCUUUAAAGGAUAUGAAAUUUAAGAAUCUUGAGGGAAAACUCAUUGUGCGAAUAUUAGAACAGCGAUCUUCUGAAGGGGACAGUGUUGCUAUGACGUUGUUGGGCAUUAGGAGUCGUUUAAUGGAAGGAGAAAAGAUAACGUCAGCAGUUCUGUUUGCUGUUCUCGAUGAAGCCAGCGAGAAAACUUUGUUAAGCUCUGAUAUUCGUAAUUGUGAAGAGGGAAGAAUAUGGGACGGCAGUCUGAGUGGCAUCAUGACUGACAUGAACUCAUUGCUUGCGUGUUACAGCUACUUGCUUGAGAAAGCAUUGGUGAGCGAAUGGUUACAACACAAGGAUGCACUAGCAAAUAAAGUUGGGGAAGAUCUUAUUGCCGCGGAGAAAAGAAGUGAAAUGUCCAGUAGGGGAAAGAAAAAGGCCAACGACCAAAACAAACAGGGAAAUCAUAGUUCUACCGGAAAUCAUAGUUCUACUUCUACUGGCCAACGUGAUGACCAAUCUUUAGAAGGCACUGGAGAGGAUACAAGCGAUAACGACAAACAGGGAGAGCUAGAUAUUUCUUCUCAUCCUACCGGAAAUCAUAGUUCUACUUCUACUGGCCAACGUGAUGACCAACCUUUAGAAGGCACUGCAGAGGAUCCAAGAGAUAACAGGGUUCAAAGUAGCCAAUCGUUAAAACAUCCUGAAGACGACACCAUUGGCAAUCUGUAUGAUUUGGUUCUUGAAUUCCUCAAGAGGUUUAGGAACAACGAACCCAAAAAAUUCUACAGAGGCAUAAUUGAAGCGAUUAAAUAUAUGAACAAUUUGCAUAUGCACAUUCUUUUUUCGCACAUUGAAGAAGAUUCUCCAGAACUUGCUGCAUAUAUUAUUGAUCAUUAUCAUGACAGUGACAGGGUUAAAGCUGAUAUAUCACGUGCUGCUGCUCAAUACCUCAUCGAACAUAAUAUCGGAAAAUCUGAGCAAGAGAUACGUGAGGGUAUAUCUGUGAUGAUUGUGGGUCUGCCCUCACCAACCAGUAACAUGUCUUUUAAGAAAUAUGCUAGGCUAAACAAGUUGAUAAGGCCUUUUAGACUUCCAAAGAAGUUUCGUCGACUUUUUUCACCUCGUUGGAAAGGAAGAUUGUACUUGAUGACAUAUGCUGGUAGAAAAGCUGCUCGUGGGUUAUUGAACUACAUCCUUGAGAUGCACAAGGAAAAACUCUGUUGGAGAGGUGAAUGGAAAUUGUCUGACAUGCGAAUCAAAGAUGGAUUGUUUCGUAUUGACAAACAAGCAUUGUAUGAUGCGGAUGUCGAUGGGAUGGCUGAAGAUUUUAAAAAGUACAUCGAACUCCUGAAUCCUUACUAUGUUGUAGUUGAACAAUCCUCCUCCAAUAGUCCACCAUAUUGGGAAAUUCUUCAAACUGACACCAUGGUGAUACCAGAUCCGUCUAAGGACCCAAAGGCAUUUCGCAGAUUUCUGAAGUACAUGUCUGCACACUUUGCAUUCAUGCCGCCAGUUAGCAUAUAUCAGUUUCUUUGCCUGCUAUAUAGCAUUUGUGAUGGACUAAAGGCAAACAGCGAUAAACAAUAUAAACCAUUGAACUUUGAGCCGGAGAACAAUUUUGAAGGUUGGACACUCAAGGUCUUUGAAGUAUUUCUGUUUAAGGAGGUCUUCAACUUUUCGAGGAAUGGUGCCAUUGUCAAUGUGUACAGUGAUUCAUACUGGCAUCUGCUACAGUUUAGUAGACAUUUCUCUUCGCAUAUUCUAAGACUGACAAAGAAACUUCAUGGUCAAGACGUCCAGGAUCUGAUCUUAAUACAUUUAAUGCUAGCCUGCCGUCUCGAUCAAUAUUUGGCAUUACUAGUUCGACACACUGUUAAUGAAACAAACAUGGAUGGACUAUUUUUUCGUGCAUGGCAAGCGCUCUUAGCUUCAGAUGAUAAAACUGAGGAGGAGGAUAUGUUAGAAAAUCUUGAAGAAUCUGAAUCUGAGGAUGAAGAAAGUGACAUUGCUGUUGAAGAUUCAAGCGACAAAAUUGAGGAUGAAGAUAUUGCAGUUCAAAUCUGA